UCGAUAGUAUCGUUAUAUCCUAGGAUCUCAGAUGUAAAAUAUUGUAGCUCUAGAAUGUUUCGGUAUAGUUUGCGAUUAAAAAUUACGAUGAUUAUGGAACAAGCUUUAUUUAUUGUAUACUUUCCUUAAAUUCUACGGUGUAUGUUUGUAAAUGAGUUGCUUUAAAAUUAGCAUAUAGUGAAGUGAUAUUAGUGACUUUCGUUUGUACAUAAUGAUUGUGUUUUAACAGUUUUGUUACUCGUAUGCAGCGUGAGAUUUCAAGCUUAUUAACAUCCCGUUUUAAUUGUUUGAAAUCUGUAAGAAUCUAAAAAUGUAAAUAUGUAGUUUAUUUUAUACGAAUCAUUUACAUGCUACUUUUAUUUUUAUAUCAUUUACUCAAAUGUAUGUCUUAAUAAGUUUGUUUUAAAUAAAAUGUAAUCAUUUUUGAAGUUUGCUUGUUGAAACUGAUUUGCCGCCGCGUUUGAUUGAUUUUUAAUAAGUAUCACUGAAUAUUACGAUUAUAGAUAAAAGUAACAUCUGAAGUUGCCUUUCAGAUACAUUUAUAAUGGUAUGCUCUUUCUAGAAACAUUUAGAUAGAGAUAUAUUUCAUAUUAUUUUUUGUGAUUCUUUUGUCUCUGUUAAAGUCUAGUUUGUACCGUAGAGUUGAUAAUUUGGGCGUUUCCCAGACACAUUCAGUAUCAAACAUACUAUACUUGUCAUUAAUUUACAUGUUAGUUCUACAGCUGUUAGUUAUGUAUAUCUGGUAAGUAUGGAAGGGAAUUAAACUGGCUGUGCUGGAAAUUAGAAUUUAAUACUUUCAUCAAGUAAGAAAUUAAGGUAUGGAAAUCAGGUUAAAUAGAAUUACAACAUUUAUGGAAUGUUAACAAUAAGUUGACAUUUUAAGAGCCGAACACUUAGGUAUUCCCAGUAGUUAACUAACUUCCUAUGGCUUGCCAAUGGGGGCAUUCCAGAAAAAUGUCGAGUACGUGACGCUGUUAUUAUUAACCUUUUCGCCGUAAGCCAAUAUUUGGCAGGAUAACUUAGCUCUAAAUUCAACUGUAUAUAAUACAGAUUUCUGAAGGUUAUUAAGGUAUGCCAUACGCGUCACGACUCUGACAAAGUAAAAUGCCCUAAUGACAUUUACAAUUAUUAUAUGGCGACAGCGCCUUAAAAUACUUUCCCGGUUGCAUCAUAAAGGAGCCUAGGCUACGCUCGGCUACCUAACGGCAGUGGUAACUACUGGGGUUAACAAGAUUGUAGUGCUUAUGGCGAGCAUAGUAGUGUAUCUACUCGCAAGUAUGUGUGGAAGUGUUUGAAACUGUUGUGUAAUAGCCCUAGAUUUUUUUUAUACCAUCAUAAUCCUUGAAGAGCUGAAAUAAAUAUGUCAAAAGAA